rnacentral:rRNA from 1 species
AGCAUUAUACCGUGAAACUGCGAAUGGCUCAUUAAAUCAGUUAUCGUUUAUUUGAUAGUACCUUACUACUUGGAUACCCGUGGUAAUUCUAGAGCUAAUACAUGCUGAAAACCCCGACUUCGGAAGGGGUGUAUUUAUUAGAUAAAAAACCAAUGCCCUUGGGGCUACUUGGUGAUUCAUAAUAACUUAACGGAUCGCAUGGCCUUGCGCCGGCGACGGUUCAUUCAAAUUUCUGCCCUAUCAACUUUCGAUGGUAAGGUAUUGGCUUACCAUGGUUUCAACGGGUAACGGGGAAUAAGGGUUCUAUUCCGGAGAGGGAGCCUGAGAAACGGCUACCACAUCCAAGGAAGGCAGCAGGCGCGCAAAUUACCCAAUCCCGACACGGGGAGGUAGUGACAAUAAAUACUGAUACAGGGCUCUUUUGGGUCUUGUAAUUGGAAUGAGUACAAUUAAAUCCCUUAACGAGAACAAUUGGAGGGCAAGUCUGGUGCCAGCAGCCGCGGUAAUUCCAGCUCCAAUAGCGUAUAUUAAAGUUGUUGCAGUUAAAAAGCUCGUAGUUGAACCUUGGGCCUGGCUGGCCGGUCCGCCUCACCGCGUGUACUGGUCCGGCCGGGCCUUUCCUUCUGGAGAGCCCCAUGCCCUUCACUGGGUGUGCGGGGGAACCAGGACUUUUACUUUGAAAAAAUUAGAGUGUUCAAAGCAGGCCUUUGCUCGAAUACGUUAGCAUGGAAUAAUAGAAUAGGACGUGUGGUUCUAUUUUGUUGGUUUCUAGAACCGCCGUAAUGAUUAAUAGGGAUAGUCGGGGGCAUCAGUAUUCAAUUGUCAGAGGUGAAAUUCUUAGAUUUAUUGAAGACUAACUACUGCGAAAGCAUUUGCCAAGGGAUGUUUUCAUUAAUCAGUG